rnacentral:rRNA from 1 species
UAACGGCUCACCAAGGCGACGAUCAGUAGCUGGUCUGAGAGGAUGAUCAGCCUCACUGGGACUGAGACACGGCCCAGACUCCUACGGGAGGCAGUAGUGGGGAAUAUUGCGCAAUGGGCGAAAGCCUGACGCAGCGACGCCGCGUGGGGGAUGAAGGCCUUCGGGUUGUAAACCCCUUUCAGCAGGGACGAAGCGAAAGUGACGGUACCUGCAGAAGAAGCGCCGGCUAACUACGUGCCAGCAGCCGCGGUAACACGUAGGGCGCAAGCGUUGUCCGGAAUUAUUGGGCGUAAAGAGCUCGUAGGCGGUCUGUUGCGUCCGCUGUGAAAACUCGGGGCUUAACCCCGAGCCUGCAGUGGAUACGGGCAGACUAGAGGUAGGUAGGGGAGAAUGGAAUUCCCGGUGUAGCGGUGAAAUG